GUACUCACUUCAGCAGCAUAUAUACUAAAAUUUUAAUGAUACAGAGAAGGUUAGCAUGACUGGAACACAAGGAUGACAUACAAAUUCAUGAAGUGUUUGAUAUUUUU
ensembl:snRNA U6 U6 spliceosomal RNA